UCUUCUUUUCUAAGAUAGCUUUGUGGUGUCUUUGGAGCUUAAUUCCCACCUAUGCAUAUAUUACUCUAAUAAUAGAUUAGUUGUCUUCACACCUUAAUUCCCAUUGUUGAAUAUGCUUAUUGUAAUAUGUGAAUGUUUAUAUGGGAUCCCCCUUUCACACCAAUCUAAUCAGGGCAAAAAGAAGGCAUUUUUACAAGGGUCAAGCUGUUUAUGUGAUAUGCUUUCACACCUUUCACACCUUAAUUCCCACCUAUGCAUAUAUUACUCUAAUAAUAGAUUAGUUGUCUUCACACCUUAAUUCCCAUUGUUGAAUAUGCUUAUUGUAAUAUGUGAAUGUUUAUAUGGGACCCCCCUUUCACACCAAUCUAAUCAGGGCAAAAAGAAGGCAUUUUUACAAGGGUCAAGCUGUUU
rnacentral:lncRNA from 1 species